UCACAAAUGUUUGCCAUGGUGCUCCGGA
rnacentral:sRNA from 1 species